AAACACAAACACUUCACCGAACAAGGCACGUUAGAUGCAUCACAUCCGUCGAUCUGACAUCUACUCUUUCUUUAAUCCUGUCCGUCCGUUGCAUUCAACAGAUCAUAUAUUAAAACAAGGCUCCUCUUCUUUAUGUCAUUCAUUGGACAUCGUUCUUUCCGUUUACCUACCGCUAUUUUGAUCUUCUCUGCUUUCGUUUCAUUCAGUUUUAUUCUGAUCAACCGUCGAUGGCUUCUAGUCUGUGCUGCUUGCUCUCGGAUUCUGUCCGAUCGUCUGGCGAUCUAUGUUUUGAUACCAGAAAAAUACUUUGCUCCUCGCUCUCAGAUUCUGUCCGAUCUUCUGGCGAUCUAUGUUUUGAUACCAGAAAAUACGUAUUUGAAGGCAUGGCCUUGGAAUUUAUCGAAGGUUUGUAGCCGGAUUUGAUCUAUUUUCGUGUUAUGUAUGUUUUAUAUUUUCUGAUGAUGUUGUUG
rnacentral:lncRNA from 1 species